AUGUGCCAUUCUAAUAUUAGUCACUUUCCAGGUGACAAGAGUGUGACCCUUGGAAGGGAGAGGACCCAUGCACUCUCCGUGGGAGUAGUUUUCAUUUCUGUAAUUUCUCUGCAUUGCAUAUCCAGCGACAGAUCUGGGGAUCAGCAAAUUUCUGGGAAUGGACUGAAGCAAGGGAGGAUCAUAAUGACAGCCUCACUGAGACACUGUGGAAGUAUCGCUGUUGGAAUAAGCCAGGCUUCUGAGGAUCUACAGGGGCACUUAUCUCCUUCAGCCCUGGAGGGCAGGAGAUUGGCCAAUAACAACAGAAGCAGCAGCAUCUUACCCAAAAGGCUGAUCAUGUCUGAAGUCGUGUGUGCCUUCUCCUUCCAAGCCUUUCAAUCCUGUGAAAGAAGAAGGGAUGGGCUCAGUGACCACCAAUUUCCUCCCAGUUCUAUUGAUUCUCAAGGAUGAGGUUUGUCUCAAAGACACUAACAUUUUGAGCUCAUUGGACAGAAUACAGUGCUGUCUUUCUAUCCUAUCCUGAACUGAGCACAUACAAAAUAGUCAUAAAGAGAUCUCGUCAAGAUGGUGGUGUGAGCAGACUUUGAACUCGUCUCCUCCCACGAACACAACCAGGUUACAACUAUUUUUGGAAAAAUGACCCCAGAUUGAAAACUGAAAACUGGAUAAAAAGAACCCCCCCCCACCCCCAACAAGGGACAGUCCUGACAAAGGCAGAAGAGGCAGAAAUUCCUGCCAGAGAGGAAAAAAGCCAUCUUUGGGACCAGCGGAGCUUCUCAGCUGGCCAGGCGGGAGAUACCCUAAGGUAGGCAGCCCUCCCUGGAGGAGUGGGAUCCGGGGGGGGGGGGGGCGAUACUGCUAUAAGCAUCCUUCAGACACAUCCCAGCUGAGAUGGGGGUCCUACUGUCUGGCUUUGCUGGCUAUUAACUGCAGUGAGGAUACCCCUAGAAAAGCUAUCGGCCGAAAGUCGAAAAGACCCGGGUCUUAAAGGGCCCAUGAACAAACUCACUCAUUGCAGCAACCUAAGAUCACCAGAGAGAAGGCUGACAGUCCUUUGGUGAAACGAGACUUGCCUGGUGGGCUCUGGGGGCAUCUUGGUGAAAGGAGGGACCUCUCUGGAGACUGAGAUAUUGGUGGGGGCCAUUGUUCUGAGCGGGUCCAGGCGUGCUGACACAGAUCCCAGUGGGUGCCAUGGAGGUCCAUCCCUUGGCCUGUUAGCCCAGGGGUCUGCCACGCUCACUAGAGCACAGAUUUAAUCCAGUUCAGUCAGGGCAGGCAACCCGCCCUAGGGACUGGCCCCACCUAACAGUAAGCCCUCUAGCUACUUUUCAGCCUGCACUGACUGGGUGCCUUGAUCCUCUACAGGCAGGCAAGGGUGUCUGCCUCUGUGAGGCAGGGCUGUGUGAGGACCAGGUGAACUGUGGGGGGCAUUGGUGGAGAGGUGGGGGCCUCUGCAGUGCAGCAUCAGGGUACACUCCAGGGGGUUGAGAAGUGUGCAUGGACCAAAACUGUGCUGAUGGUGAAUGUGGUCCUGUGGGGGGUGAGGCUUAUCAGCGGCAGAAGACCCAUGCUUCACAAAUAGCCAUAAAAAGGAUCAGCCCCACCUUCCAAAGCCUGAAACAAUUGAGUGCCCCAGUGCCAAGGGCCAGCCCCACUCAGCUGCACUCCUAAGAGAACUGACAACAGCCUUGUAGGCCUGAGGCCUAUAGCAACUGUAAGCCCCUGAGCCUAGCAACCAGUUACACUGGGUACCACCCCAAUUAAGAGGAAAACUGCAACAGGAGUGUGCUGAUAGACUUUGUAGCCAACAGUGCUGAGGCUCCGCAAACUGGAUUUACAAACAGCUGGCCAGGGAAGGAAAGACUAGACUCCCUGGGUACCUGCAGUGGGAGCAACCCUGCCACAGCAGAAGGACACAAGUAGCCCACAAAGGGGUCACUCCUGGAUCUUCUGGACUGGUGACGAGAGGGAAGCACACUGCUGGGUCUCAUAAGGCAUGUCAUACAUAAGGCCAUUUCGCCAAGAUCAGGAGACAUAGCUGACUCACCUAAUACAUAGAAAUAAGCACAGAGAAAGAGGCAUAAUGAGGAGGCAAAGGAAUACUUUCCAAGCAAGGGAACAGGACAAAACCCCAGAAAAAGGACUAAAUGAAACAGAAGCAAGCAACCUACUCGACAAAGAGUUCAAACAAAAUAUCAUGAGGAUGCUCACAGAUAUUGGGAGAAGACUGGAUGAACACAGUGAGCACAUCAGCAGAGAACUGGAAGACAUAAAAAAAAAAGCCAAUCAGAAAUGAAGAAUACAAUACUGGAAAUGAGAAAUUCACUAGAGGGAUGAAAUAGCAGAGUAGAGGAUGCAGAAGAACGGAUCAGUAAGCUAGAGGAAAUCGCCCAAGCAGAACAGAAAAGAGAAAAAAGAAUUAGACAGAAUGAGAACAGUCUAAGGGAACUCUGGGACCAUAUCAAUCAUGCUAACAUUCAGAUUAUAGGUGUCCCAGAAUGAGAAGAGAGAGACAAAGGUGCAGAAAAUUUAUCUGUAGAAAUAAUAGAUGAAAAUUUUCCUCACCUGAGGAAGGAAACAGACAUCCAAGUUCAGGAAGCACAGAGAGCUCCAAACAAGCCCAAAGAGGCCUGCACCAAGACAUAUUAUAAUUAAAAUGUCCAAAACUAAAGACAAAGAGAGAAUCCUAAAAGCAGCAAGAGAGAGCCCACAAGUGACAUAUAAAGGGAAGCCCAUCAGGCUAUCAGCAAACUUCUCAGCCGAGACCCUACAGGCGAGAAGAGAAUGGCAGGACGUAUUUAAAGUUCUAAAAGGAAAAAACCUACAACCAAGAAUACUCUAUCCAUCAAGGUUUUCAUUCAGAAUGGAAAGAGAGAUAAAGAGCUUCCCAGACAAGCAAAAAUUAAAGGAGUUUAUCACGAAGAAACCAGUUCUGCAAGAAAUGCUGAAGGGACUUAUUUAAGUGGGAAAGCAAUGACCACAAAUAGAGAUAAAAAAAUUAUCAAAAAACCCCAAAACAACAACAACCAAAAAACCAGGCAAUAAAAUCACUUGUAAAGGUAAAAAUAUAGUAAAG
rnacentral:lncRNA from 1 species